UACGGAGGGUGCAAGCGUUGUUCGGAAUUAUUGGGCGUAAAGCGUGUGUAGGCGGCUAUUUAAGUCUGAUGUGAAAGCCCAGGGCUUAACCUUGGAAGUGCAUUGGAUACUGAGUAGCUAGAGGGCGAGAGAGGAUAGUGGAAUUCCUGGUGUAGGGGUGAAAUCCGUAGAUAUCAGGAGGAACAUCGGUGGCGAAGGCGGCUAUCUGGCUCGCAUCUGACGCUCAGACGCAAAAGCGUGGGGAGCAAACAGG
rnacentral:rRNA from 1 species